rnacentral:rRNA from 1 species
GAAACAUCUUAGUACCCGGAGGAAGAGAAAGAAAAUUCGAUUCCCUUAGUAGCGGCGAGCGAAACGGGAAGAGCCCAAACCAACAAGCUUGCUUGUUGGGGUUGUAGGACACUCUAUACGGAGUUACAAAGGACGACAUUAGACGAAUCAUCUGGAAAGAUGAAUCAAAGAAGGUAAUAAUCCUGUAGUCGAAAAUGUUGUCUCUCUUGAGUGGAUCCUGAGUACGACGGAGCACGUGAAAUUCCGUCGGAAUCUGGGAGGACCAUCUCCUAAGGCUAAAUACUCUCUAGUGACCGAUAGUGAACCAGUACCGUGAGGGAAAGGUGAAAAGCACCCCGGAAGGGGAGUGAAAUAGAACCUGAAACCGUGUGCUUACAAGUAGUCAGAGCCCGUUAAUGGGUGAUGGCGUGCCUUUUGUAGAAUGAACCGGCGAGUUACGAUUUGAUGCAAGGUUAAGCAGUAAAUGUGGAGCCGUAGCGAAAGCGAGUCUGAAUAGGGCGUUUAGUAUUUGGUCGUAGACCCGAAACCAGGUGAUCUACCCUUGGUCAGGUUGAAGUUCAGGUAACACUGAAUGGAGGACCGAACCGACUUACGUUGAAAAGUGAGCGGAUGAACUGAGGGUAGCGGAGAAAUUCCAAUCGAACCUGGAGAUAGCUGGUUCUCUCCGAAAUAGCUUUAGGGCUAGCCUCAAGUGAUGAUUAUUGGAGGUAGAGCACUGUUUGGACGAGGGGCCCCUCUCGGGUUACCGAAUUCAGACAAACUCCGAAUGCCAAUUAAUUUAACUUGGGAGUCAGAACAUGGGUGAUAAGGUCCGUGUUCGAAAGGGAAACAGCCCAGACCACCAGCUAAGGUCCCAAAAUAUAUGUUAAGUGGAAAAGGAUGUGGCGUUGCCCAGACAACUAGGAUGUUGGCUUAGAAGCAGCCAUCAUUUAAAGAGUGCGUAAUAGCUCACUAGUCGAGUGACACUGCGCCGAAAAUGUACCGGGGCUAAACAUAUUACCGAAGCUGUGGAUUGUCCUUUGGACAAUGGUAGGAGAGCGUUCUAAGGGCGUUGAAGC